rnacentral:lncRNA from 1 species
GCCACAGACCAUACACACCCAUUACCAAUGAGCAAUAGAUUCCGGUAACCCCCUCCUGUCUACCAGAGUCCUCUCCCUGUAACCCAGAAUGUUUGCACGUCCCACCCGCGCUUUGCCCAGCUCCUCACUGUCCUUGGACUUCCCUGGAGAACGUAGAACUGAUGUGCACUGUUGGCUCCUGUUGUGCUGCACAGGCCUCCGUACAAACGGAACUCAAGAGCAUACACCACUCAUCUCUGCUAGUGGAUCACCUCUGAACGCUGUCUGCGCUGGGCUGAGGAUGCUCAUUACUGAAGUUCAAGGUUCUUACUGAUGUCACUGGAAAAUUUGUCUCUGCUCUGAGAAAUCACAGGGGUUAGUCUUUGUGACUCGUGAGGUGACUACACUAACACCUGGUGUUGAUAAGAUGGCAUGAAAACAGCCAGCUCUGGAAGUCGUGCGGAGUGAUGGCUCAGAAGUGAAUAGUGCUUGCUGCUCUUUCCAAGGACCCGAGAUGGGUUACCAGCACCCAUGUUCUCCAGAUCACAGUCUUCGCUAACUCCAGCUCCAGGGCUUCUAACCCCCUCUUCUGGCCUCCAUGGUACCUUUACUCAUGUGCCUGACAUCCUCCCACACAUACUUAAUGAAAAAUUAGAAUUAAAUCUUUAAUAAUAAUAAUAAAGAGUCCCGGA